rnacentral:lncRNA from 1 species
GGGGGGGGGGGGGGGGGGGUCACCACGAAGACUUUGUGCUUAGGGCACCAAAAUAGCUAGCAACGGCCCUGACAAUAAGGAUAUAAUAUGAGCAUGCACGUGCACACACACACGCACACAUACACACACACACACAUGAAUUUGCAUGUCUUUUGCAUCGCCCUGACCCACACACGGACCUGCGCCCAGAACCAAAACUAGUGUGAGGGUUCAGAUUGGACCAAACUGGAUCUUUGAUGGGACGGUGUGCAAUCCUGGUCCUGACGGGACUCUUGGUCCAGACAGAACCUGGUUCUCGCUCUCGGAUCAGGACUCACCCUGCUGGCUGCUCUCUCUGUGAACACUGCCUUCGUCCUCCUCUUCCUCCUCUCCUUUACUCUCUCUGGACAGCAGCAGACGGAACAGGGCACAGUAACGGGUCAUGGUGCUGACCGGGUUCUCCAGCUGACAGGUAAUCAUUCCGAGCACGGAUCCAUGACCGAUUUACUUCAGAGAGUGUGAGAGAAGGUUCAGGUUUCAGCUCAGGAAAAGGCUGGGGUCAGAGGUCAGCAGCAGAACCACCAGACCAUCUGGGAACCAAUCAUGAAGCAGCUGUUCCUCUCUGCAGCAGCGGGGGGGCAGACAUGAGUCACAGUAAAGCUGAAAGGAACUGAGAAGAUCUAAAGGUCCUCAGAUCCACAUAAGUGUGGUAAUGAUGCCGGACCAUGAGCAUCUAAACACCUUCAUCACCUGUAAGAUCCUCAUCGUUUCUGGUCAGCAGCUCCGGAGAUAUAAAAAUAAACAUCAAGGUGUUUGUUUCAGCUGUGGCUGCUGGAGGCGCUUUGCACCACAAAACUCACAAAAUCUGUCAGAGACGUUGCCAUGGAGACCGACAGGAUCCAUGUGAGAAAGCCCCACCCACUUUGGAGCUACCACUGUCAGUCUUUUAGUAAACGCAUCAGCAGGUGGGAGGCUCCGGUGAGGUCUGCUGCAGGAAGCUGCAGGUGGCAGGUUGAGCCGAAGCAUCUCAGAGCAUCCCGUUCGGCAGCUGAUGAAGCUGAUCUACAGCAGGCAUGUGAAGCAGCCUCAUACAUUAUUAAAAGGUCUGCAGGACUCUGGCGUGCACCGUCUCCAUGGAGACGCUCUUAAAGGGCCACGCCAAAUUUUGUGAACAUCAACAGGCUCACACCAGGCUGGGUCAUCCUGACCAGAACUCCCAGAAUCUGUCUUUUUUUAAGAAAUCAGCAGCCAGUUUAGAUGUUUACCCACAGUCAGAAGUGGUUUCAAUCCUGAAUCCUGCUGCAGCUAACAUUAGCAUUGAGCUAGGUUACCUAUAACUGCCGUUAGCAUGGCCCCUCUGCUCCAUGUCAGUGUCUCCUCUCCUACUGGGAGAAUGCGAUGGAGGUCUGAGGAGAUGAGAGUGGAGAAGUGAGUGGGCAGCAGGAUGUGGAUGUUCGUAGAGGUGGAAGCUGUGGGUCCACCACCUCAGUGGCCUAGUGGUAGAGUGUCCGCCCUUAGUGAUGAUGAUGUGAAGCCUUUUGAACCAACAAAGCUUUACAAUCCAAUUGUAUUGAAAAAUGGUUCAAGGUUCGAUGCUUCAAAACUCUGGGAGGACAUCUGCUGGUUAAUGUUUGUAUUUCAUUGUAUUGUCAGCCAAUUCUACUGAAAAUGAAUGGUGUAUUGAACUUUAUGGACAAAUAAAGCAUUAAAAAGCUUCCUCAGGAUCAUAUAAUAGUAUCUUGGAUUUGAACAUUACAUUAAAUAUACUAAAAUUGCUUUUCUUGGUGUGAAUACUUGAAAUGAAACAAUGUUUAUUUUUAUGGGAUACGUGAUGAAAUAUAUCUAAUUUACACAUAUUAACAUUCUCUACAUAUUCAAAUAUUUUACUUUUCACAUUUCUAUUGGAUUAUUAGGCAGGAAUAAUUAGCUCAAUUUAUGUAUCUUUUUUAGAAAUAGAGUAACAAAAUGAAGAUUAGAAAAUUCACAUAAGGAUAGGACAUACUAAAUUCCAUUACACGUACAACCAAACUGAAAAGCUCAUCAACUAUUAUAUUAAUUACCAAUAAAAGAAGAAAAAUCAUACCAAACUAGAUUUUAAUUUAAUUAAAGGAAAAUGACAGACGGUCUAAAAGAUAUA